AAUUUAAUUUAAAUUAUUAAGUAAUUUAAUUUCUUAAAGUAUUAUUUUUUGUUUUUUAAUUUUAAAAGGUAAUUUUAUUAUUAAACUGUAAAGGUAGAAUUGAAAUUGUUAAUAAGUUAACUUUAUUGUUGUACCUUUUGUAUCAGGGUUAAUUAAAUUUUUAAACAUUUUUUUUUUUCCCGAAAUUUUAAGAUUUAUUUAAUUAUGAAUUUUAGUGUAGUAAAAUUCUUUAAAAUUUUUAGAUAGAUUUGAUAUAAAAAUCGUUUAAAAUGAUAUCUGGUUAUUUAAGAAUUUAAUUGAAUUAAUGAUUUCUUUAAAAAUAAUAUUUUUAUUUUAUUGAAUUCAAAUUUUAAGGGGGAUAAGCUCUUUAAAUUUAUAUAGCUUAAGUAUUAUUUUUUUUUUGUAGGCUUAGAAUUUGUCAUCAAUGAGUUUGUUAAAAAUCAUAAUUAAUAUAUAAUAUAAUGUUUAUUUUUUUAUUAAAUUUUUUUUGAUAAUAUUUUUAUUUUUAAUAAUGAUUAAAUUAGUAAAUAUAAAAUUUUAUUCUAUGAAUUCGACAAAGUUAGUUUCCACCUGUUUAUCAAAAACAUGUCUUUAAGAAUUAAAUUUAAAGUCUAACCUGCUCAAUGAGUUUUAAAUAGCCGCAGUAUUUUAACUGUGCAAAGGUAGCAUAAUAAUUAGUCUUUUAAUUGAGGUCUGGAAUGAAUGGUUGAAUGAGAAACUUGUUUUAUUGAAUAAAUAUAAUUGAAUUUAAGUUUCUAGUUAAAAUUCUAGAAUAUUUAAGAGGGACGAUAAGACCCUAUAGAUCUUAAUAAUAAAAAUAAUUAAUAAAAUUUUAGGUUUUAUAUUGAUGAUUUUUUUUUUUAUUUUGUUGGGGUGAUAACUAAAAUUUUAAACUUUAGUUUUUUUUUACAAUAAUCUUUGUAUAAUUUGAUCUUUUAUUUUGAUUAUAAGGUAAAGAUACCUUAGGGAUAACAGCGUUAUUCAUUUGGAGAGUUCAAAUCUAUAAAUGAGUUUGCGACCUCGAUGUUGGAUUAAAAUAAAUUUGUGGGGUAGGUUCUACAAUUUUAGGUCUGUUCGACCUUUAAAAUUUUACAUGAUCUGAGUUCAGACCGGCGUGAGCCAGGUUGGUUUCUAUCUUCUUUAAAAUUCUUUUAAUUAGUACGAAAGGAUCAUUAAAGGGUAAAAUUUAUU
rnacentral:rRNA from 1 species